rnacentral:miRNA from 1 species
UGAGCUCAGUCUUUAUCGGCGGG